CAAAAUGAUUUUAAAAAAUAUUUUAUAGUCAGCAAGAACCGAUUCAAAUCUGUUUGGCUUCACUCUCAGGAAUGUUCUCUUUCUGUUAAAAGGACUAAGAUCGUUCCCGUGCUGCCGACUCCAUGGAGGAAAAGAGUUCUGGAUAAAGAGAAACGUAAAAUUCUGCUGCUCCCUUGUCCUGCUCGAGGAGACAGAGGUCAAGCAUAGCUGUGGCGUUCCACUUGGGGUCACCGCUGCACUGAGGUACCGCCAUUCAGAGAGUUCUAAUCGAGCUGGUUCCACCUUGCCUUUGCACAAAUCACAGAGAAGAAAAGGGACCCUCCAGGUGGCAGUAGGACCUUGCUCUCUGGCCAGACUGAUAUCAGCCGCUGCGUAGAUUUUGUACAUGUAUAAUCAUUUCCAGGAUACUCACAUGCUACACAAAAUUGAAAGAUGACCAAUUUUGCUAUUAAAAAAAUGAAGUUAUAAUUUUCUAGUGCAGAGUGACUGCACAGGAAGACUGCCAUAAGCAAUCUACAGGAGUGCUAACAGAAGAUAUGAAGAAACCAGAUUUCUAUAACAACUAAUGGAAAAUUAACCACUGGUGAGUCUAGUUUCAAUCCCAAAUCAAGGACACACAUGUUAGUACUGAUUCUGUCCACUCAGUUAAAACAUUCUCAUUCCUGAACUAGAUUAGCUACUGAAAUUCUAAAAAUGCUCAUUUUCCUGGGUAUCCUUUUUUGUCAAAGGGUUUAGUAUUUAUUAUGUUAUUUACAGUAAUUGACAUUUACGAAAAGUGGAAAGACCAGAGAAAACACUCCAUAGUAUGUAAGACCUUUAUCUCUUUUUAAAUGUUCUUAGUAGACUAUAAUACGAAGCAAUUAUAUUUAGGUCUUCAUGACUUGAAGGUGUCUUGAAUAUCUCUUAAUCUGCUUUCUCCCUUCAAAUUUCUUUCCAUUCUAAAGAGAACAUUUUUGCAUCUUAGUACUAAUCCUGUAGAAUUAAAAAAAAAAACCACGAAGAUUCUAUGUUUCAUACAUUUUGAAUUAAAAUUACCAAAGCAAUAAACCCUAUAAGGAUCAUUUUUUUUCUUAUUUAAAUACUGGUACUUUCUAUUAACCCUAUUUCAAAUUUAGAGUUAUAUAUACAUUGUGAAGAUGUCCAUGUACACAAGUUUCUGCAGAACCUCCAAUUUUAUUAUAAAACUUCUUCCUCACACACAUUAGAGAACUAUGUAUGUUCACUUUCACAUGUUUAAACAACCCAAGAAGGGUGGCAUAUUUUAAAGUUAACAACACUUUUAAUCAUUAUAAAAACAGACUGAGAUUAAUGGUGACCCUAGCAUUUGGUUACUUUGACUGAUUAGCUAGGCUCCUGACUUUUUAUAUUCAUUAUUGGCUAAUUUGACACUGGAUUGUACGUAUCACAUGCAUUUUCCAGGAGAUAAAGAGGGAAUACAAAAACUGCAAAUUCUAAGCAGAUGAUUUUGCUACUUUUAGCACUUCUGGUAAAAGGGCUAGUUGCAGUUAAAGAGGGAAAGCUAUUAACAAAAAAAGUAGGGGACAAGUUACCUGUGGAUUUCAUUUACUCACAUUUGGACUGGUCCUCCUUAUUGGAGGCUAACUGAAAACAGACCAGACCAUGACUUCUAGCUUUAUGUUGGUAACUUUCAAAUACUCCCAAUGACACUCUCCAAUAAUUUUAUUAUCUCCAGUUUUAUGACGCCAUACUAUGCUUUUCACACUGUUUAAAUUUCCUAUUUCCAUAAUCCAAAUGCCAAAAAAUUACUACACAUUCCCGUAUACAGUCAAAAAUAGGUUUACUGGAAUGUUGUUAGUUAUAGCUGAAGGCAGCAACAUUUACAUUUAGCUUUUGUUACACCCAUAAACGUGAAAAUUGCUUGCAAAGCAAUUGUAAUAUGAGAAGAAUCUUGCAAAUAUCAAUGGAAUGGUUACACACAUCUUUCUGCAUAAUGAUUUGGUACUCUACAGAGGCUCCCUGACCACCAGCCUGACCCCCACCUAGAUGCAACAGAUGCGAGUUCUUAUGACAUUAAAAUAACAGUAUGAAAUAUCAUUAUCAGUGUUUAUAUAUACAAAUAAUGAACUGGCAAGUAUCUAGUUUCAAAUUAGACCCCUGGAAUAUGGCAAAAUCGAGGCUGGUUAUCUUUGCCUUAAACAUAAUUAUUAAAAGCAC